CCGGCGAUCGCCACCCUCCUGGGACCCCGCCCGGUCGCAAGCCCGUGCCCACCGCAGGGGGAGCGCCCCCGCGCAGCGCCACAGUCACGCCGGCCGCAGCCUGGCAACGCGGCCACAAAGGGAGCCCGGGAGGCGGAAUCUUUCCACAUGCCUGAUCAAUGGGGGCGCGGAGACGGCGGCGCAAACAGGCCCGAGACAGCCGCACAAAGAGGAGGCCCCUCGGCCGCUCCCGCCUCGCAUUGAUCCCUCUCCUUUGUGGCUCGGACAACGGGAGAGGCGCCUCGUGGGGACUCGGCCUAUUCUCAUUAGGGGCGAAGGCCCUCGAGGACCCUUGGCCCCCAGCCCUCAGCAGCAUCCCUUCUAUAGGCUCCGAGACGCGGGUCCAGGGGGUGGGGGUCCCGAGUCUAUCUGGGGACAGGGUGGGGUGGAAAAGUGUCACUAGUGCAGCCACCCAGACUCCGCCUCCUGAGUGAGGACCCCCCAGACCGCUCUAGCAGGUCUGCUGUGUCCCCCUGGUUACUGGCAGCCCUCCUCAAAUCGCCUACUUUUAUUUAUUGAGUAAAUAUUUAUUGAGCGUUUGCUCCAAGCUGUUCCCAUUCCCCUCCCACUCCCCAAACCACCCCCCCAAGACCACUUGAACUGGCCACAGUCCCUUCGGGAAAGUAUCACCUCUCUGGGAAAGCAUCUUUGGCCCAUCUCCCACCUCAGGUUGGGCAGAGCGCCCCCUCCCCCUCUAUGCCCUUUCUAGCUCCAGGCUCUUCAAUCACAAUAGGGGCAGCUAACAAUUACCUAGCCCUUACUAUGGCUACAGCUUCCAAGCGUUUGACAUGGCUGGCUCUGGUUUUUUCUUUUUGUUUGUUUGUUUUUAAGAUGGGACUUCAGUGUGUAUGUAGCCUAGGCUAGGCCUGAAGCCUGUAGCCCAGGCUGGCUUCAAGUUGGUAAUCCCCUUUGCUCUGCAGAAGUGUACCAUACACCCUGCUCCGGGGUUCCUAUAACUCAUAGAACAUCCCUCCAGAUUUGAGCUGCUGUGACCUCCAUUUUUGAGAGACAGAAAUGAAGGCUGGCAACCCUUCAUCUGCUUUCUGUCACCAUAGAUUAGUGUGCGCGUUCUAGAACUCUGCAGACAUGGAAUCCUACAGGAACUCCUCCGCGUCUAGCUCGUUCUGGGGAUUCGGUGCGGUGGCCGGCACUUGUUCCAUCUCAGCUUCUCCAUCCAGACAGCGAAGGUGGACACGUCCUGGUUUCGCUGAGAACAGGCUCACAAGAGAGCGCUAGACCUGUAUACUGCAGGUGCUCAAUAAAUGCCCUCACUUACUGUGCCUCUUCUGUUGAAGAGUUGGAGUUGC